rnacentral:rRNA from 1 species
GAUGAACGCUGGCGGCGUGCUUAACACAUGCAAGUCGAACGGUGAAAGUGGGAGCUUGCUCCUACUGGAUCAGUGGCGAACGGGUGAGUAACACGUGAGUAACCUGCCCCAGACUCUGGGAUAAGCGUUGGAAACGACGUCUAAUACCGGAUACGAGACGAGAAGGCAUCUUCAUCGUCUGGAAAGAAUUUCGGUCUGGGAUGGACUCGCGGCCUAUCAGCUAGUUGGUGAGGUAAUGGCUCACCAAGGCGACGACGGGUAGCCGGCCUGAGAGGGUGACCGGCCACACGGGGACUGAGACACGGCCCAGACUCCUACGGGAGGCAGCAGUGGGGAAUAUUGCACAAUGGGCGAAAGCCUGAUGCAGCAACGCCGCGUGAGGGACGACGGCCUUCGGGUUGUAAACCUCUUUUAGCAGGGAAGAAGCGAAAGUGACGGUACCUGCAGAAAAAGCACCGGCUAACUACGUGCCAGCAGCCGCCGUAAAAC